CUGGCUCAGAAUGAACGCUGGCGGCGUGCCUAACACAUGCAAGUCGAACGAGAAAGGUAGCAAUACUGAGUACAGUGGCGCACGGGUGAGUAAUACGCAGGAAUCUGCCUCUGAGUGGAGAAUACCUCCGAGAAAUCGGGGUUAAUACUGCAUAAGCUCGAAAGAGGAAAGGUGGCCUAUAAGCUACCGCUGAGAGAUGAGCCUGCGUCCUAUUAGCUAGUUGGUAGGGUAAGAGCCUACCAAGGCAAAGAUGGGUAGCCGGCCUGAGAGGGUGUCCGGCCACACUGGAACUGAGACACGGUCCAGACUCCUACGGGAGGCAGCAGUGGGGAAUUUUGCACAAUGGGCGCAAGCCUGAUGCAGCGACGCCGCGUGGAGGAUGAAGGUUUUCGGAUUGUAAACUCCUGUUAAGUGGGAAGAAAGACUCCUGUUAAAUAAGCAGGGGGGAUGACGGUACCACUAGAGAAAGCACCGGCAAACUUCGUGCCAGCCGCCGC
rnacentral:rRNA from 1 species